GUGAAAAUGUCCAGUGGUCAAAGUCUGAACACACUGCGCUUCACUGAGUUAAACUUUCCUGUGGAUCCUGGUUUCUUUCCCACAGAUCUUGUCAGAACCUCUGAGAUGCAGUGGGGCCUGUGAGCCUCUAUGAGGGAGUCACAGUUUAUGCGUUUGCCAAACUCAUUCACCCUGGGAAUAUUUUCAUCCAACAUCCAUGAACCCCUCCGGAACUGCAGAUGGCCAGGCUCUCUGAUUUGAGAAGUCCUUUCCUAGAUGUUUCUGAAGCUUUUCGAGCUGAGAUUUCGUGAUUCUGGAGAGGAACCUGCUAGGGAUAGAAGACCCUUCUCCUACGAAAUCCACAAGGCUAGGCCUGCCUUGUCCACGUCCGAGGAAGGGCCAGAUCCUGAGGCUUGCAGCAAACACCUUCAUGAACCCCAUCUUCACCUUUGGCUGGCGGAAGAGGCUCGGAGGUUAUUUGAGCUGGUUUCCAGCUGGGACUCUGGGGACCAGAGAGGAAGUGAGUCAAUGUCUCCUGGGAACUCAGGCAACGAGUCCGGCUCAGACCCUGCCUCUCUGAGGAACACAGACAAUUAGAACUGGAAGAGGGCCCAGUGAUAGGGAGGGAGUAGGAUGGUUACACGGGUAGUUGUAGAAGUCCCAGUCGGGGACCACAGAUAGAGAGGAAACCUAGGGAACUUGGGGAGACCACGCUAAGUUAAUAAUUGCUCAAGAAAGCCAUCCGAGCAAGGCAGGUUUGCUUGAUGGGUGGAGGCUCCAGAUGUGCCUCAGGUCACUGGCUGGUGGAUGGAGUGAGGCCUGCAUUCAGCUUCAGACCCAGGGCAGGAGGUUAAGGACCACCCUUCUGCUGGUUGGAAUAAGCAGCAGGGCGGUCCUAGUCUGACCUUACAGGGUCAAAUACUCUCUUACCGGAUACCAAGGAGGGGCUACUACUUGAAGAAAGAAGAGGCGGUCUUUUCCCACCCCCCCUCCCCUUGGAUUAUAAAAGUGUGGCCCAUUGAAUCCUUGGAGCAGAGCCUCCUCGCCUGCCCCUUUGCCCCUCUCACAAGCCUCCUAUCUUAACAAGUCUGCUUCUUGCCUAUCACUCUGUCUCUCACUAAAUUCCUUCUGCAUGGGUCAGCAAGAACCUGAACCUCAAUAAGUCCAGACAGCGGGUGAGUGAUUCUAAUUUAAAAACUGGGUUUGAGUCCCAGUCUGGGUUUAGACUGGGUUCAAGUCUCAGCACAUGGGUUCAAGUACCAAUAUGGGUUUAGGCUGGGUUUGAGUCCUGGCACGUGGGUUCAAGUCCCAAUCUCCUUCUGGCUACGUUCAAGCCAUUAGCACUGUCAGUUUCACCAGGAGCCCUCUUGAUCAAUGUUACUUUAUACAGGAUGAGGAAGCUGCGUUGUGGAGAUGGGCCACUACAGCAUAUGGUGGGGAUGGCGCCAGAGGCUCAGGCUUCCUAAAUUGUCUGUUGG
rnacentral:lncRNA from 9 species